UACAGAGGUCCCGAGCGUUGUUCGGAUUCAUUGGGCGUAAAGGGUGUGUAGGAGGUUAGGUCAGUCGGGCGUGAAAUCUCACCGCUUAACGGUGAAACUGCGUUCGAUACUGCUUGACUGGAGGAUCGGAGGGGGUAUCGGAAUUCAUGGUGUAGCAGUGAAAUGCGUAGAUAUCAUGAGGAACACCGGUGGCGAAAGCGGAUACCUGGAAGAUUCCUGACUCUGAAACACGAAAGCUAGGGGAGCAAAACGGG
rnacentral:rRNA from 1 species